GUGAGGAAUAUUGGACAAUGGGCGCAAGCCUGAUCCAGCCAUGCCGCGUGCAGGAAGACGCAUCUAUGGUGUGUAAACUGCUUUUGUACGGGAAGAAACACUCCCUCGUGAGGGGGCUUGACGGUACCGUAAGAAUAAGGAUCGGCUAACUCCGUGCCAGCAGCCGCGGUAAUACGGAGGUUCCAAGCGUUAUCCGGAAUCAUUGGGUUUAAAGGGUCCGUAGGCGGUUUAAUAAGUCAGUGGUGAAAGCCCAUCGCUCAACGAUGGAACGGCCAUUGAUACUGUUAGACUUGAAUUACAAGGAAGUAACUAGAAUAUGUAGUGUAGCGGUGAAAUGCUUAGAUAUUACAUGGAAUACCAAUUGCGAAGGCAGGUUACUACUUGUGGAUUGACGCUGAUGGACGAAAGCGUGGGGAGCGAACAGGAUUAGAUACCCCAGUAGUCC
rnacentral:rRNA from 1 species